AUCCGGCUAGCGAGUCCCAAAUAGGACGAAACAUGUGUCAUGGAU
rnacentral:hammerhead_ribozyme from 1 species